rnacentral:lncRNA from 1 species
GGACCUUUAGGGGAAGUGGGAUGGAGAGUAUUAUUUUCCUUGGGUCAUUUUUCUUCUGUUGUAUCCUACCUCCCAUUACCCAAGGUACAUGGACCUCAUCAAUGUGAUGACCUAUGACCUGAGGGGUUCCUGGGAUGGUUUCACAGGAGAGGACAGCCCUUUGUUUUCAGGACCCAACGACAAGGGAGACUACAAAUACUUCAGUGUGGAUUAUGCAAUGAACUACUGGAAAAACCAAGAUGCCCUGCUGAGAAACUGAUGGGGGCUUUGGGGCUUAUGCCAGUACCUUCUCUCUCGCCAACCCUCCCACCGUGGCCUGGAUGCUCCCUCCUCCGGCCCAGGGGCUGCCAGAGCCUACACGCAGGAGGCAGGGAGUCUUGCCUACUUUGAGGUUUGUUCCCUCCUGAAAGGAGCCACUGAAGUGUGGAAUGCUCCCCGGAGGUCCCCUGUGCCUACAGGGGAAUCAGUAGAUUGGAUAUGCCAACCCCAAGAGCUUCAUGAUCAAGGUUGCAGAGUGCCCCCCUCUACUGUGGGCUCCUCCACAAACACUGAAGCUCACAAGGCUGGCAGCACUGAUGACAGUGGAUUCUGUGCCAAAAAGUCUGGCGGUCU